GGGAUCUUGCAAGAAACUCAAGUCUUUCUGUUCACCCCUGCAAUAAAACUUAACAUUUGCAGAAAACUACAAUGAAGAAAUAGAUAUGCUUUGUACCAGUUAGAUAUAAACGACCGGACCAGAAACAAUUCAGAAGAGUUACUGAACUGGAAAUUAUUAGCGUUAAAGCAGGACCAGUAUGGUAAUUCGCUGCACAGAGAUGGAGGGUGUUGAAAUUCUGCAGUUCAGUUGUGAUUGAUAAAUUGGAUGUUUUAAAGACCCUAAUAGUUCAAGACAUAAGAGGUCAAGUGAGAUGUGCAGCCUUCACAUGCAUAGUUAUAUCUGUCACAGUAUGCCAGUUAAUACAUGGCUGGUUUAAACUUCAAAACUUCAGACUUUGAAAAAAAAACAUCAAUGUUUGGCAUUUAAUUUUAAAAUACUAUGAAACUACUUUAAGUGUAGUCUUUAAGAAUAUUUAUUUUAGCAAUGUGUUUAAAUUCUUAAUGCAUUCCCUCAAAAGGCACAGAUAUACUUCAUAAGAUGGCAUGUUUACAUUGCCAUAUAAGUAAGCAGUGACAAAAGUAGAGUAAUCAGCAAUUUUUAAAGUAAUGCAUUAAAAUGACUUGGACGUCAGCUAAAAUUCUUUACAGAGACUUGUUCCAAACUCUUUGACAAGCUGUUUGAAAGGCUGUCUAAUUUUCAGUGUGUAGCUUAAAAGAACUUGCAUUAUUUUUUCUGCUGAAGCGUUACUUUGCAACUACAGCAAUACAUAAAACAAGAUUCUUUUGUGUGUGUAUUGCUGUAGUUGCAAACUAGCAACAGUAUACAUGACAGGCCUGGAGUAGCCAACAUGUUGUAGUCCAGCAAAUCUAGAGAACACCCAUCCCUGAACUUGGCCCAUGUUGGCUGGGGCUGAUGGGAGCUGGGGGGCACCACUUCAGCCAUCCCUAUGGUAAAUUAUUUCAUUUGUUUCAUUCCCUACUAUAUGGCAUUCAGAAUGGCAGUUAAUGCAACCUAAGUGUGUAUACUGUACAUAAAAAGAAUGUAGAAUUAUGACGGCAGACUCAGCCCCCACAAUUUAUGUGCAUUCAGUAAGCUCUGUGAACAGACAACAAUGUUCACAAGCAUGACGCGCAUGGCUUUUUUGUGAAUAAUAAAGAUACAUACAAGAAAUAAUUUUUCCAGCAGAUUGUAAUUAAGAUUGCCUCCCUAAAAUUUCUUAGUUGGGAAGGAGACUUUGCCUACAUGGUAAUUUAGGCAGAGACUACAAAAUAAAUGGAAAUGCCAUGCACAUAUCGUGCCACUGCAAGUGAUUUCCCUAUGCACCACAGCACUGACAUGCAAUAUUGUUUCUUUUUUUCUCUGAACUCAGAAUAUACAUGUUGACAUAUACUAUGAUUGUGACAUCUUUUGUUUAUUUUUCUGAUAAUAGAGUAAUAACCUUCACUGAAUUAAAAGGGGUUGUGGUGGAAUUACAUAUGGAGUUAAUAGCUCAGUUGGUAGAGCAUGAGACUCGUAAUCUCAGGAUCAUGGGUUGGAGCCCCCCAUGGGUUGGGCAAAAGUUCCUGCAUUGGAGAGGGUUGGACUGGAUGACCCUUGUGGUCCCUUCCAACUCUGUGAAUCUGUGACUAAGACAUGUUCAGAAAUAGUCCCAAAUUUGUAAAAGUAUCAUAGUUUUUGUGCCUGUAGAAAUGCUGUUUAAAUGACUGAGAGCACCUAUUGUUGGAAAGCUAUUGGGAAUUAGAUAUCAGAUCACCAACUGAUAUUUUACUACAAUCAAUAUGAAAUUGACCUGUGGAAACCACACACACACACACACACACACACACACACACUUGAUCUCCACUUUCCCUGAAAACAGACUGACAUGAUCUCAUUAUUUGAAACAUCAAAAGGUGUCCCAGGGUUGUUGUCUCACACUUGCUAUUGCUUCAACUGUUCAAGUGUCAUGCUCAUGUGUAAAUCGCAUUCUUGACUUAGCUUUGUUUUCCUGGUUAGAUAGUACAGUAUCACCAGCACAGUUUGGGAGGGUAGGGUGUGUUAUUUCACUGCUGUCUAUAAAAUUUAUAUCACUCUGGUAAGGAGGCCAUUUGCUCUGAUACUGGAUUUGAGGAUUUUGGAUCCGAGAGACAUAAUAGGGAUGCUUCUUCUGAUAUUCUGCCUGCCCCACUGCCUGAGAGCUUACCUGGCAGAGUUUGUCUUGAAGAGUCCACACAUGGCAGUCAUGGUGACUCCCUGUUUGUGGAAUACUCUCCCCAGGGAGACUCACCUGGGCGUUUGGCUGAUUAACAUUCUAUGGACUUUAAAAUGUUUCUGUGGGAAGGGGAUCAUUGGUUUAUUUUGCUUUUGUUUAUGUUUUAUUAUGUAUUUUGUGUUUCAUUUUGUACUUUUAUGCUGUGAACUGUUCUGUGAUCUUCAAAUGAAGGGUGGUAUACAAAUUCACUAACUAACUAACUAACUAACUAACUAACUAGACUUCGGUUUCCACAUCAAGGCUAUCACUAUAGAUCCAGCUCAGAACUUCAUAGCCUCCAUGACAGCCAUGGGGUUGUCUUAGUUCAUUAAAAUACAAAUGCACAUGGCAGGACACACAAACUCAAACUGGUAUUUGCUAUAGAUAGGCAAGGGGAUCUGUUGGUAAGGGGGCUUGUAACAAGUUCAUUUCCAUGGAUUGUCUGGCGAGGAAAAAAACCCUGAAGGACUUGGGUCACUAAUAUUUGAAGGAACUCUUCCUUCCAUACCAUCCUGACCACGCCUUAAGAUCUGCAGGAGAGGCUUCACUUGUGGUCCACUGCUAGGAGAAGUUCAGGGAGUGGUGAUAUGUGAAAGGACCUCUGCAGCAGAGCUCCACCUAUGGAAUAGCCUUCCUUUGGAGGUGCAGAUGAUGAUGUUGAUGAUGAUUUUAUUAUUAUUUAUACCACACCCAUCUGGUUUCCCCAGCCACUCUGGCAGCAACUGUAAUGAGCCACUUUAAAAGGAUCCUUUUACCAUCACGUAGCUUUUUGUAAUAAUGAAACUGAUUUCUGAAAAUUUAAGGUGAAAUAUUGAAUAUGCUUGAGAAAAUUCCUUUCUUUCUUGAAUACUGUUAUAAAAUUUAAUAUUUUUAAUACUUAAUAAUUGAUGUAGUAUCUGUCUCUCUUCUUAAAAUGACAUGUUUGCUUUGUGUCAGUGUAGGUACCAAAUAUUCAGACAUCCCAAUAGUUUCCAAUUGUUGGAAGUUAUAUCAAUAGUAGAUGUUCUGCAUCAUUUUUCCAGGCAAACUGCACACCAUGUAGCUCGCUUGUCUGUAAAAUGCAGGAGUAUAUCCAGCUGUAAACAACAAAUGUGAUAAUUCAAUUCAUUUUUAAGGGGUCAAUGCUUUCUGAUUCUAGCUAUUCUGUUUACUUAAAUGGGGAAUAUUUUUCAUAUUAUUUAUUUCGGAAACCAACUGUAAUUUAUGUGUGAGCCUUUUUAGGACACCAAUGACAUUAUGUAAUAUAAUUACAAAAAUCCACCCAACUCUCCACAGGCCACAAAGGUUAUGCAAAGGCUUGUGGAAUCCUGGAAUUUCUAGCCAUUUUCCCGUUCUUUUGGUGCCAUUUUUGCAGUUUUCCCACUCUCUUUGGGCUGUUUUGCCCUUGUUGUGGUUAAAAUUGAUUUAUUUAAUUAUUUCCCAGCACUGCACAUAUAUGCAGUCAUGUCCAAAUUGAACACACGUAAAAUGCCUGUACUAGAAAAAGAGGUGGAAUAGAGCAAAAAGUUCAAUGUGAAAGAUCCAGUUCAGAUGUAAUGUUAAAUUAUAGUAUAGAAUUGUGUGGAAGAGCCGCAGUGAUUAGUUUGAUUCAAACCAUAUAUUUGGCUUGUUUCAACAACCACAGCAUGGCCACAAUCCUAUCCACACUUACCUGGGAGUAAAUUCCAUUGCAUUAAGUAGGACUUAAUUUUUAUUGUGCUUUCAAAGGAUUAAAAAAUAUUUUACUCAUUCCAAAUCUUUUAAAUAUGUAUUCAUAUAGCUCAAUAUAUUGGUAAGCCAUGAUUUAACAUUACAAGGGCAAGCUUUAGCUUGAUUACCAACAGAAUAGCCUUGCAUUCCCUUCUCCUCCAAACCUUCUCAAGUGUGACUAUGAGAAUGUUGGAAGCAUAUUCUUCCAUUUUGGAUUAACCAUAGUUUAUCAUUACAUCCAGAUGUUUAAAUUUAUUUACAGCCCCAUAAUGCCAUAGCCCCAUGGUAGCCAUAUAGUGAGUGGUUCCCAUAGCACUUUCUCAAAAUUCCAAAUGUGCUCAUUGGCCUGCAAGCAUUGGUGACCCCCUGUUUUAAAGCGUAUACCACAAUCCUACACAGAUUUACUGUUAAAUAACUCCCAGUGGGCUCAGGGGCAUGUAAAUAGCAAAGGAGUGUAUUUCGUUUUUUUGUUAAUACAUAAACAACGAAAAUCUAAUGCGAACUAAAUUCAUUAGAUCACAGGAAUAAUAUUGUAGUAAUUAUUCUCAUAGAGGAAUUCUUAGACUGCAAAAUCAUAUAACUAGUUUUCUCAGUGUGCAGUGAGAUGCGCAUGAAGUUAGAUGACCUUUUGAAACUCUUCUCUGUAACAGAAGUAGCUUGUCAUGGAGCUGCUUGGGAAACCUUAGUUCAAAACCAGCCUGAAAUAGCAAAAUAAAUGGUUGGGUCCUAGUUACAAGAAUUUUGCAGUUCCCUGUCUGUUUAAACUUUCUUUCAUUCUGAUUUGUUUCUUAGAAUCUUCCCUAGUGUUGCAUGAAAAUCAUUUGCUUCUUUUUUGUUAAUUAGUUUUUAACAUUGGAACAGUUAGCAUAGAAUACGCUGCUCAUUUAGUGACUUAGAUUAGCCCUAGGGAACACAUCCUUUUAGUUUGAAGCUGCUUUACUGGCAGCCAAGGGCAUGCCUUGGAGUUGCUUAGGUUGGCCCUGCCAAGGGCCCAGAUGGAUACAAGAAUGGUGCCUCUGACUUGGAAUGGUUAGGAGCCUGCCCACGUGCUCCCCAGACCAUUUCUCCAUUCCUCUAGGCAGCUAGGUGAGGCUCACAGGCUCCUCUGGUUGCCUUGGUGGAGGAAUCCAGUUGCUGUCGUGGCCAUCAUAGUACCCCUGCAAGCCCCCCCCCCAUCAGCUGGCAGCACUAUUAGAAGUUUGAGCAGAGUGCCUAGUGGAGCUUGUAGGGAAGACAGUAGUGGAGUCCCAGCAGCCCAAACCACCAGCCCAUGAGAGUGUGCAGAAACCAGUACAGCCCAGAAGUGUAAAUAAGCGGUAUAUUUAAAAGAAGUGUAUGUAAAAAAAGAAGGGAGAGAAGCAGCCGGUAUAGAGCUCAGGAUCAAAACUAAACACUAUAUCAGAAUAUUGGUCUACCUAAUGCUACACUUAAUCCAAAUUAACAUUGCAAAAAUUACUCUCAACCUUUGGUGCUGGCAUCUUCUGGUAUCAGAUGCAGGUUGGGCUUAAGAGGGUCAAAUGUAGCCUCACAAGUGUCAUUUAUAAAAGAGUAUCGGAUCCAAGUGGUUUUGGUGAAUGAACUCAGGCUUGCUAGAGAGGUUAAAAGCAACAAAAAAGGCUUUUAUGGGUAUGUUCGUAGCAAAAGGAAGAACAAAGAAACAGCGGGGUCACUCAGAGGAGAAGAUGGUGAAAUGCAAACAGGGACACAGAAAGGGCUGAACUCCUCAAUGCCUUCUUUGCCUCAGUCUUCUCCGAUAAAGAAAACAAUGCCCGACCUGAAGACUUUGGAGCAAAUGAUUCAGCAGAGGAAACACAGCCCAGAAUAACUAAGGAGAUAGUAUAGAAUACUUGGCUAGUUUAGAUGUAUUCAAGUCUCCAGGGCCAGAUGAACUGCAUCCAAGAGUAUUAAAAGAACUGGCAGAUGUGAUCUCAGAACCACUGGCAGUCAUCUUUGAGAAUUCCUGGAGAACAGGCGAAGUCCCGGCAGACUGGAGGAGGACAAACGUUGUCCCUAUUUUCAAAAAGGGGAAAAGAGAGGACCCAAAUAAUUACCGCCCAGUCAGUCUGACAUCAAUACCAGGGAAGAUUCUGGAGCAGAUCAUUAAGCAAACAGUCUGUGAGCACCUAGAAAGGAAUGCUGUGAUCACCAAUAGUCAGCAUGGAUUUCUGAAAAAUAAGUCAUGUCAGACUAACCUGAUCUCGUUUUUGACAGAAUUACAAGCCUGGUAGAUGAAGGGAACGCAGUGGAUGUAGCCUACCUUGAUUUCAGCAAGGCAUUUGACGAGGUGCCCCAUGAUAUUCUUGUAAAGAAGCUGGUAAAAUGUGGUCUUGACUAUGCUACCACUCAGUGGAUUUGUAACUGGCUGACUGACCAAACCCAAAGGGUGCUCAUCAAUGGUUCCUCUUCAUCCUGGAGAAGAGUGACUAGUGGGGGGCCACAGGGUUCUGUUUUGGGCCCGGUCUUAUUCAACAUCUUUAUCAACGACUUGGAUGAUGGACUCAAGGGCAUCCUGAUCAAAUUUGCAGAUGACACCAAACUGGGAGGGGUGGCUAACACCCCAGAGGACAGGAUCACACUUCAAAACGACCUUGACAGAUUAGAGAACUGGGCAAAAACAAACAAGAUGAAUUUUAACAGGGAGAAAUGUAAAGUAUUGCACUUGGGCAAAAAAAUGAGAGGCACAAAUACAAGAUGGGUGACACCUGGCGUGAGAGCAGUACAUGUGAAAAGGAUCUAGGAGUCUUGGUUGACCACAAACUUGACAUGAGCCAACAGUGUGAUGCGGCAGCUAAAAAGCCAAUGCAAUUCUGGGCUGCAUCAAUAGGAGUAUAGCAUCUAGAUCAAGGGAAGUAAUAGUGCCACUGUAUUCUACUCUGGUCAGACCUCACCUGGAGUACUGUGUCCAGUUCUGGGCACCACAGUUCAAGAAGGACACUGACAAACUGGACAGUGGGAUUUGCUGCCAAGGAGUGUGGUGGAGUCUCCUUCUUUGGAGGUCUUUAAACAGAGGCUUGACAACCAUAUGUCAGGAGUGCUCUGAUGGUGUUUCCUGCUUGGCAGGGGGUUGGACUCGAUGGCCCUUGUGGUCUCUUCCAACUCUAUGAUUCUAUGGUUUACAAGUGGUUAGUUUGGAACUUUUGGGGAGGCUCGGGGAGAUGGUAGACACCUUCUGGGAGCCGAGAACGAUGGCUAUUGCUGGUGGAUUUCUCUUUUUGCUAAACAGGAUUUAAUUAGGAACUCUGUGUUUUAGAAGGGACAUGCCUCAUUCCCUAGUCAUGAUGGAGGGCAGGAGCCUAGAGGGCCGCAGGAUGGAGGUGCCAGAAAAUGGGUGCCCCCCCCCAAUUGAGACUCAUUUCUAGAAUACUUUGUUUGCCUGACACUUAGUCAUAUCCUUUUGGCAACAGGUACUGAACAGUUUGUCUUGAAUGGGGAAUCAAGUCCUUGUAGAGCUUUUGACCACACAUUGAACAUCAAAACUAGUGCGCUUGUGGAAUUGUGUACUUGUGGGAGUUUGUAGCCAGAACUGUUAGCUAUGUACUGUCUGGAAUGCAGCACUUCCUCUCAGCACUAAAAAAGAUAGGGAAAGGUUGUCAAGCAGGGAUUCCAGGCUGCAUGCUUUUAUAGUACAGAAUGGCUGUGUUCCAAAGAUUGCUCUGUUCUCAGAAGCAGAGUGACAAGCUAAGUAUAUUGGAAAUGAAACUGCAGAUUUGACCUACAGCUUUUAUGAUAGGAUGGUGGGGGAGUCAUUCUUAUGGCUCCCUAGGCUUCUUUGGGAGGAAAGGCAGGAUAUAAUUUUUAAAAAAUAAUAAUGGGGGAAAUCACACUUAGAUUCAAGAUUCAGGUAGGGAGCCGUGUUGGUCUGAUGCAGUCGAAAUAAAUAGC